GACGAACGCUGGCGGCGUGCCUAAUACAUGCAAGUAGAACGCUGAAGGAGGAGCUUGCUUCUCUGGAUGAGUUGCGAACGGGUGAGUAACGCGUAGGUAACCUGCCUGGUAGCGGGGGAUAACUAUUGGAAACGAUAGCUAAUACCGCAUAAUAGCAGUUGUUGCAUGACAACUGUUUGAAAGGUGCAAUUGCACCACUACCAGAUGGACCUGCGUUGUAUUAGCUAGUUGGUGGGGUAACGGCUCACCAAGGCGACGAUACAUAGCCGACCUGAGAGGGUGAUCGGCCACACUGGGACUGAGACACGGCCCAGACUCCUACGGGAGGCAGCAGUAGGGAAUCUUCGGCAAUGGACGGAAGUCUGACCGAGCAACGCCGCGUGAGUGAAGAAGGUUUUCGGAUCGUAAAGCUCUGUUGUAAGGGAAGAACGAGUGUGAGAGUGGAAAGUUCACACUGUGACGGUAUCUUACCAGAAAGGGACGGCUAACUACGUG
rnacentral:rRNA from 1 species